CUAACUGCGACUUGAAAAGUCUUAGGAAAACAGCUCUCAACCUUGUCAUCCAUCUGGAACUUCUCAACAAAUCUAAGACAGGAGCUGGGGAAAAUGCUUACUUGGUAAACUGCAAGCAGGAAGACCCAAGCUCUCAGAUUUUGGCUUAUGUUGCGGCAUUGUGAAGAGUGAUGAGGAAAACAUGGACCGUGGAAAGAAUUCAGAGAAUGAGAUGUGCUUUGGGACAGAACUGAAUUCCCAGACCCAAGAGUGAAAAAGGAAAAAGCCCACUGAUGGAAACAGUGUUUUUGAGUGAGAGGAGAGCCUUUGCUGAUGAUGCCGGAGGAUGUCCCCACGGAGAUGUUGGAAGAAACUCUGUUUGAGGCGACUCACCUGUACCUGUUCAAGUUUGAGGUAGGAAGUCGUAUGUCAUCUGCGUUGUGCACAUUUCUGGAUCAGCACUACAGUGCCAGGCGCUCAGAUCCCAGUGCAUGGAUGGUCAAAUUAGCUUUCACUGAGCUUUCAUUAGCUGAAAAGAAAACUAGUCCGUCUAGCUGUCAUGGCAUUUGUGGUGAUGAAUCAAGAGGAUCACAAAGUGCUGGAGAACUGCACCACCCCUCGCCUCUCACCCCACUCAUAAAUAUAAGCGGAUGAGUCUGCUUCCAGAAUUCCAUUCCCUACUGCCGCUGUUUUCAUCAACGCCCAUCUCCAAGUCCAGGUCAGGACCAGCUUCCUCGGCAGAAACAGGCCAGAGAGACAUCUGCAAAAACACCAGCAUAUAUGACUAUGAUAACAACUCCUCA
rnacentral:lncRNA from 1 species